ensembl:lncRNA
UCCAUGUGUUCUUUCUUGAUUGCUUCUAUUUCCAUUUUUAAUUCCUUCAACUGUUUGAUUGUGUUUUCCUGGAAUUCUUUCAGGGAUUUUUGCGAUUCCUCUCUGUAGGCUUCUACUUGUUUAUUAAUGUUUUCCUGUGUUUCCCUAAGGGAGUUCUUCACGUCUUUCUUGAAGUCCUCCAGCAUCAUGAUCAAAUAUGAUUUUGAAAGUAGAUCUUGCUUUUCUGGUGUGUUUGGAUAUUCCAUGUUUGUUUUGGUGGGAGAAUUGGGCUCCUAUGAUGCCAUGUAGUCUUGAUUUCUGUUGCUUGUGUUCCUGCGCUUGCCUCUCGCCAUCAGAUUAUCUCUAGUGUUACUUUGUUCUGCUAUUUCUGACAGUGGCUAGACUGUCCUAUAAGCCUGUGUGUCAGGAGUGCUGUAGACCUGUUUUCCUCUCUUUCAGUCAGUUAUGGGGACAGAGUGUUCUGCUUUCGGGCAUGUAGUUUUUCCUCUCUACAUGUCUUCAGCUGUUCCUGUGGGCCUGUGUCUUGAGGUCACCAGGCAGCUUUCUUGCAGCAGAAAAGUUGGUCUUACCUGUGGUCCCGAGGCUCAAGUUCGCUCGCGGGGUGCUGCCCACGGGUUCUUUGCGGCGGCAGCAACCAGGAAGACCUGUGCUGCCCCUUCCGGGAGCUUAUGCAGCCUCAGGAGUGCCCACCUGACCAGGCGGUGAGGUCUCUUUCCCACGGGGUCUGGGAGCAGAGAGCUGCUGCGGGCCGGGAUCCGCCGUCUUUGUUUUUAAUAUUGGAAUAAUAUUUCAUUGUGUAGAUAUACCACAUUCUCUCUCUCUCUCUCUCUCUCCAUCCAAACAUCCCAAACAUUGCCCCCUCCCAGUACCUCUCUCACCCAGUCAUUCCUCCCAUCUUCCUCUCCUACUCCUCUGAAAGGGUAGGGCCAUCCCUGGUUAAGCUCCCUGUCUUAGGCUUUCUAUUCCUGCACAAACAUCAUGAUCAAGAAGCUCGUUGUGGAGGAAAGGGUUUAUUCAGUUUAUACUUCCACAUUGCUGUUCAUCACCAAAGGAAGGACCGGAACUCAAGCAGAUCAGGAAGCAGGAGCUGAUGUAGAAACCAUGGAGGGAUGUUACUUACUGGCUUGCUUCCCCUGGUUUGCUCAGCUUGCUCUCUUAUAGAACCUAGGACUACUAACACAGAUAUGGCACCACCCACACUGUGCUGGGUCCUCCCCCGUUGAUCACUAGUUGAGAAAAUGCCUUACAGCUGGGUCUCAUGGUGGCAUUUCCUCAACUGAGGCUCCUUUUUCUGUGAUAACUUCAGCUUGUGUCCAGGUGACACAUAAACCAUCCAUUACAACUGACCCCUUGUCAACUUGACACACAAACACAUCACUAUUAAGCCUCAACCCUUACUUUCUAAUUCAUCCACCAAAUCAAAAUAACUUUAAAAGCCUCUCAAUCUUUACACAUUCUUACAUAUUAAAUUUUCAAUUCCUUUAAAAUAUCCAAUCUCUUUUAAAAUUCAGUCUUUUUUCAAUUCAAAGUUUCUUAACUGUGGGUUCCACUAAAAUACUUUCUUCUUUCAAGAGGGAAAAAUAUCAGGGCACAGUCACAAUCAAAAGCAAAAUCAAACUCUAACCAUCCAAUGUCUGGGAUCCACCCAUAGUCUUCUGGGCUCCUCCAUAGGCUUGGGUCACUUCUCCAGCUCUGCCCUUUGUAGCCUACACUUUGUCUUCUAGGCUCCAGAUGCCUGUUCUCCUCCACUGCUGCUGCUGUUCUUGGUGGUCAUCUCAUGGUACUGGCAUCCCCAAAACACUGCUGCAACUAGGCUUCACCAAUAGCAUCUCAUAGGUUCUUUUCAUGGUGCCAAACCUUAACUUCUUUGCAUGACCUUUCAGUCCUGGGCCAUGAAUUGCACUGAGGCUGCCCUUCACUAAUGGCCUUCCAUGACCUCUCACAGUGCUCAGCCUCAGCAGCUCUUCAUGACCCUUCAUUUCUUCAAAUCAGGACCAUUUGGGUGACUCUUAUACUCUACCAAGUCGGGCCACAGCACAAGGUACAACUUAGGCUAUCUCUGGAACACCACCUCUUUGGGCUCUCAGAAAACAAUUCCCAGAAUUCACCUCAAUGAUGCUGGUCUCUUCUUAAUCACCACUAAUUUCUUAGCUCCAGCUGACCAGCAUCAAUAGUCCCAGUAAAGCAAGGGUUUCCUUUAGUAGUUCUGGUAUCUUGUUAACCAGAGAUGAUUCUUCAACCCCAGCUAACCAAAACCACAGAAUCAUCACAAUCAAAAUGGCAACAGCCCUGAUAAGAGUCAUUAAUCUUCCCUCUGAAUUUUCACAAGCCAGGCCACCAUCUUCUGUGCUAUUCUCAACAUUACCUUCCAAGCUCCUACAGAACAUCCCACAGAGCCCUUAACAUCCCAAUGGCUCUUCUAGCUCAAAGUUUCAAAGUCCUUCCACAGUCUUCCCCAACCUCUCCUGGUCAGGUUGUCACAGGAGUACCCCACUGUGCUGCUAUACUGGUACCAACUUGUCUUAUUCAGGGUUUCCAUUCCAUGACCAAAAAGCACGUCGGGGAGGGAAGGGUUGAUUCAGCUCACACUUCCACGUUGCUCUUUCAUCACCAAAGGAAGUCAGGACUGGAACUCAAGCAGGUCAGGAAGCAGGAGCUGAUGCAGAGGCCAUGGAGGGGUGUUUCUUACUGGCUUGCUUCCCCUGGUUUGCUCAGCUUGCUCUCUUAGAGAACCCAAGACCACCAGCCCAGGAAUGGCACCACCCACAAUAGGCUGAUCACUAGUUGAGAAAAUGCCUUACAGCUAGGUCUUAUGGAGGCAUUUCCUCAGCUGAGGCUCCUUUCUCUCCUUUCUCGGUUUGUGUCAAGUUGACACAUAAAACCAGUCAGCAUCUUCCCAACCCCCCAGUACAUCAAGUCUCUGCAGGGUUUGGUGCAUCUUCUCCCACUGAGGCCAGACAAGGAAGCCCCACUGUAUUUCACAGAUAGGCUUUAAGGAUAGCCCCAGUUGUUGGAGGAUCCACAUGGAGACUGAGCUGCACUCUGUAUGCUCUUCAGUUGGUGGCUCGAUGUCCAAUCAUAAGUGAGUACCUACCGUACAUGUCUUUUGGGUCUGCAUUACCUCACUUAUACUUUCUUUUUUUAAAAUUUUUUUUUGGUUUGUUUUUUUUUGAGCUGGGGACCGAACCCAGGGCCUUGCGCUUCCUAGGUAAGCGCUCUACCACUGAGCUAAAUCCCCAGCCCCUAAAAUUUUUUAAUUUUUUUAUUAACUUGAGUAUUUCUUAUUUACAUUUCGAGUGUUAUUCCCUUUCCCGGUUUACGGGCCAACAUCCCCCUAACCCCUCCCGCUCCCCUUCUUUAUGGGUAUUCCCCUCCCCAUCCUCCCCCCAUUGCCACCCUCCCCCAACAAUCACAUUCACUGGGGGUUCAGUCUUAGCAGGACCCAGGGCUUCCCCUUCCACUGGUGCUCUUACUAGGAUAUUCAUUGCUUCCUAUGAGGUCAGAGUCCAGGGUCAGUUCAUGUAUAGUCUUUAGGUAGUGGCUUAGUCCCUGGAAGCUCUGGUUGUUUGGCAUUGUUGUUCAUAUGGGGUCUCGAGCCCCUUCAAACUUUCCAGUUCUUUCUCUGAUUGCUUCAACGGUGAUCCUGUUCUCAGUCAGUGGUUUGCUGCUGGCAUUCGCCUCUGUAUUUGCUGUAUUCUGGCUGUCUCUCUCUGGAGAGAUCUACCUCUGGCUCCUGUCUACCUGCACUUCUUUCCUUCAUCCAUCUUGUCUAAUUGGGUGGCUGUAUAUGUAUGGGCCACAUGUGGGGCAGGCUCUGAAUGGGUGUUCCUUCUGUCUCUGUUUUAAUCUUUGCCUCUGUAUUCCCUGCCAAGGGUAUUCUUGUUCCCCUUUUAAAGAAGGAGUGAAGCAUUCACAUUUUG